AUUUACCUAAAUAAAGUUUUCCCUAAACCUUACCACACUGGCAUCAACAUCACAUUAUUGGCAGCACUGUUGCAACACCAUCCCUCACAGCAUUUGGUUAAAUUUAUCAUUGAAAGUCUGUAUGAGGGGUUACACACGGGUUUAGUACACUUGCCAAACGAUACACUAGAAUGCAACAAUUUGCAAACCACUUUAAAUGACU